rnacentral:rRNA from 1 species
CGGGUGAGUAACACGUGGACAAUCUGCCCCCCGGCCCGGGAUAGCCCAGGGAAACCUGGAUUAAUACCGGAUGAGACGGGACCCGCGAUGGCGGGAUCCGGGAAAGGCGCUGCGGCGCCGCCGGGGGAUGAGUCUGCGUCCCAUUAGCUAGACGGCGGGGUAACGGCCCACCGUGGCGACGAUGGGUAGCCGGCCUGAGAGGGUGGACGGCCACAUUGGAACUGAGACACGGUCCAGACUCCUACGGGAGGCAGCAGCUAAGAAUCUUCCGCAAUGGGCGAAAGCCUGACGGAGCGACGCCGCGUGAACGAAGAAGGCCGUGAGGUUGUAAAGUUCUUUUCGGGAGGGGGAACAACCGUGGCAGGGAAUGGCCGCGGGAUGACGUGAAUCCCGGAAUAAGCCCCGGCUAACUACGUGCCAGCAGCCGCGGUAACACGUAGGGGGCGAGCGUUGUUCGGAAUCAUUGGGCGUAAAGGGCGUGCAGGCGGUCCUGCAAGUCCGGCGUGAAAGACCCCGGCCCAACCGGGGGGACGCGCUGGAAACUGCAGGGCUUGAGUACAGGAGGGGAUGCCGGAAUUCCAGGUGUAGGGGUGAAAUCUGUAGAUAUCUGGAAGAACACCAAUGGCGAAGGCAGGCAUCUGGCCAUGUACUGACGCUGAGACGCGAAGGUGCGGGGAGCAAACAGGUUUAGAUACCCUGGUAGUCCGCACAGUAAACGAUGUGCACCAGGUGGCGGG